rnacentral:rRNA from 1 species
UGGCUCAGGAUGAACGCUGGCGGUAUGCUUAACACAUGCAAGUCGAACGGUCUCUUCGGAGAUAGUGGCGGACGGGUGAGUAACGCGUAAGAAUCUACCUACAGGUUCGGGACAACAGUUAGAAAUGACUGCUAAUACCGGAUGUGCCUUCGGGUGAAAGUUUUAAUGCCUGUAGAUGAGCUUGCGUCCGAUUAGCUAGAUGGUGAGGUAAGAGCUUACCAUGGCGACGAUCGGUAGCGGGUCUGAGAGGAUGACCCGCCACACUGGGACUGAGACACGGCCCAGACUCCUACGGGAGGCAGCAGUGGGGAAUUUUCCGCAAUGGGCGAAAGCCUGACGGAGCAAUACCGCGUGAGGGACGAAGGUCUGUGGAUUGUAAACCUCUUUUGUUAGGGACGAUGAUGACGGUACCUAACGAAUAAGCAUCGGCUAACUCCGUGCCAGCCGCCGCCGUAAC